rnacentral:rRNA from 1 species
AACGAACGCUGGCGGCAUGCCUAACACAUGCCAGUCGAACGAGACCUUCGGGUCUAGUGGCGCACGGGUGCGUAACGCGUGGGAACCUGCCCUUAGGUUCGGAAUAACUCCCCGAAAGGGGUGCUAAUACCGGAUAAUGUCUUCGGACCAAAGAUUUAUCGCCUUUGGAUGGGCCCGCGUUGGAUUAGCCAGUUGGUAGGGUAAAAGCCUACCAAGGCGACGAUCCAUAGCUGGUCUGAGAGGAUGAUCAGCCACACUGGGACUGAGACACGGCCCAGACUCCUACGGGAGGCAGCAGUGGGGAAUAUUGGACAAUGGGCGAAAGCCUGAUCCAGCAAUGCCGCGUGAGUGAUGAAGGCCUUAGGGUUGUAAAGCUCUUUUACCCGGGAUGAUAAUGACAGUACCGGGAGAAUAAGCGCCGGCUAACUCCGUG